rnacentral:rRNA from 1 species
CGAGUUUGAUCAUGGCUCAGAACGAACGCUGGCGGCAGGCCUAACACAUGCAAGUCGAGCGAACCCUUCGGGGUUAGCGGCGGACGGGUGAGUAACGCGUGGGAACGUGCCCUUUGCUACGGAAUAGCCCCGGGAAACUGGGAGUAAUACCGUAUGUGCCCUUCGGGGGAAAGAUUUAUCGGCAAAGGAUCGGCCCGCGUUGGAUUAGGUAGUUGGUGGGGUAAUGGCCUACCAAGCCGACGAUCCAUAGCUGGUUUGAGAGGAUGAUCAGCCACACUGGGACUGAGACACGGCCCAGACUCCUACGGGAGGCAGCAGUGGGGAAUCUUAGACAAUGGGCGCAAGCCUGAUCUAGCCAUGCCGCGUGAUCGAUGAAGGCCUUAGGGUUGUAAAGCUCUUUCAGGGGGGAAGAUAAUGACUGUACCCCCAGAAGAAGCCCCGGCUAACUCCGUG